UGGGAUUAAAGGCCUGUGCCACCAAAAA
rnacentral:piRNA from 1 species